AUUGAACGCUGGCGGCAGGCCUAACACAUGCAAGUCGAGCGGAUGAGUGGAGCUUGCUCCAUGAUUCAGCGGCGGACGGGUGAGUAAUGCCUAGGAAUCUGCCUGGUAGUGGGGGACAACGUUUCGAAAGGAACGCUAAUACCGCAUACGUACUACGGGAGAAAGUGGGGGAUCUUCGGACCUCACGCUAUCAGAUGAGCCUAGGUCGGAUUAGCUAGUUGGUGAGGUAAAGGCGCAGCAAGGCGACGAUUCGUAACUGGUCUGAGAGGAGUAUCAGUCACACUGGAACUGAGACACGGUCCAUACUCCUACGGGAGGCAGCAGUGUGGAAUAUUGGACAAUAGGCGAAAGCCUGAUCCAGCCAUGCCGCGUGUGUGAAGAAGGUCUUCUGAUUGUAAAGCACUUUAAGUUGGGAGGAAGGGCAGUAAGUUAAUACCUUGCUGUUUUGACGUUACCAACAGAAUAAGCACCGGCUAACUUCGUGCCAGCCGCCGCAGUAACAC
rnacentral:rRNA from 1 species